AGUGAUAGAGGGAGGGGGUGACACAGUGACAGAGUGAGGGAGGUGGUGACUAGUAACAGAGUGAGGGAGGUGGUGACUGUCACUAGUCACCCCCUUCCUCACUCUGUCACUAGUCACCCCUUCCCUCCCUAACUCUGUCACUAGUCACCCCCUCCCUCACUCUGUCACUAGUCACAGCCUCCCUCACUCUGUCACU